CGCUACGGACUUAAAAUCCGUCGACUUUUAAAAUCAUGAGGGUUCAAGUCCCUCUAUCCCCA
rnacentral:tRNA from 1 species